rnacentral:lncRNA from 1 species
UGAGGGGGUUGUGUUUGGGCUGAGGUUUGGAGAGGCUGUGUGGUUUCUGGUUUGGGCCUGGUGGGGUUGCGUAACAGUUUCCUGUAUUCCAGACACAGAGAUUGCCGGAGAAGACAUACCUGAGUCUUGAUCGAGAUUUUCCUGCAACACAAUUGGCGUCGGAGCUGUCGUCGGUUGUCCCUGCUGCAGCGGCGGCGAAGGCGAUCUGAUGAGUGGCACAAUGGUGCGGUUGAGGUGGUUUGAUUGGGCGAAGUUUCGGUGGCUGUGGGUUGGAGAGGUGAUUUCCGAAAC